rnacentral:rRNA from 1 species
GAUGAACGCUGGCGGCGUGCCUAAUACAUGCAAGUCGAGCGAACAGAUGAGGAGCUUGCUCCUCUGACGUUAGCGGCGGACGGGUGAGUAACACGUGGAUAACCUACCUAUAAGACUGGGAUAACUUCGGGAAACCGGAGCUAAUACCGGAUAAUAUAUUGAACCGCAUGGUUCAAUAGUGAAAGACGGUUUUGCUGUCACUUAUAGAUGGAUCCGCGCCGCAUUAGCUAGUUGGUAAGGUAACGGCUUACCAAGGCAACGAUGCGUAGCCGACCUGAGAGCGUGAUCGGCCACACUGGAACUGAGACACGGUCCAGACUCCUACGGGAGGCAGCAGUAGGGAAUCCUCCGCAAUGGGCGAAAGACUGACGGAGCAACGCCGCGUGAGUGAUGAAGGUCUUCGGAGCGUAAAACUCUGUUAUUAGGGAAGAACAAAUGUGUAAGUAACUAUGCAUGUCUUGACGGUACCUAAUCAGAAAGCCACGGCUAACUACGUG